AGCCUAAUGGUUAAGGCUAUGGAUCGCCAAUCCGGAGACGGCGGGUUCGAUUCCCGU
rnacentral:tRNA from 1 species